rnacentral:rRNA from 1 species
UACGGAGGGUUCAAGCGUUAUCCGGAUUCACUGGGUUUAAAGGGUGUGUAGGCGGGUAUUUAAGUCAGUGGUGAAAUCUCCGGGCUCAACCCGGAAACUGCCAUUGGUACUAUUUAUCUUGAAUAUUGUUGAGGUAGGCGGAAUAUAUCAUGUAGCGGUGAAAUGCAUAGAUAUGACUUAGAACACCAAUUGCGAAGGCAGCUUGCUAAACAAAUAUUGACGCUGAGGCACGAAAGCGUGGGGAUCAAACAGG